rnacentral:rRNA from 1 species
UACUGCGAAACUGCGAAUGGCUCAUUAAAUCAGUUAUCGUCUAUUUGAUAGUACCUUACUACUUGGAUAACCGUGGUAAUUCUAGAGCUAAUACAUGCUGAAAACCCCGACUUCGGAAGGGAUGUAUUUAUUAGAUUAAAAACCAAUGCCCUCCGGGGCUCCCUGGUGAUUCAUGAUAACUUCUCGAAUCGCACGGCCUUGCGCCGGCGAUGGUUCAUUCAAAUUUCUGCCCUAUCAACUUUCGACGGCUGGGUCUUGGCCAGCCGUGGUGACAACGGGUAACGGAGGGUUAGGGCUCGACCCCGGAGAAGGAGCCUGAGAAACGGCUACUACAUCCAAGGAAGGCAGCAGGCGCGCAAAUUACCCAAUCCCGACACGGGGAGGUAGUGACAAUAAAUACUGAUACAGGGCUCUUUUGGGUCUUGUAAUUGGAAUGAGUACAAUUUAAUUCCCUUAACGAGGAACAAUUGGAGGGCAAGUCUGGUGCCAGCAGCCGCGGUAAUUCCAGCUCCAAUAGCGUAUAUUAAAGUUGUUGCAGUUAAAAAGCUCGUAGUUGAACCUUGGGCCUGGCUGGCCGGUCCGCCUCACCGCGUGCACUGGUCCGGCCGGGCCUUUCCCUCUGGGGAGCCGCAUGCCCUUCACUGGGCGUGCCGGGGAACCAGGACGUUUACUUUGAAAAAAUUAGAGUGUUCAAAGCAGGCUUAUGCUCGGAUACAUUAGCAUGGAAUAAUAGAAUAGGACGCGUGGUUCUAUUUUGUUGGUUUCUAGGACCGCCGUAAUGAUUAAUAGGGACAGUCGGGGGCAUCAGUAUUCAGCUGUCAGAGGUGAAAUUCUUGGAUUUGCUGAAGACUAACUACUGCGAAAGCAUUUGCCAAGGAUGUUUUCAUUAAUCAGGAACGAAAGUUAGGGGAUCGAAGACGAUCAGAUACCGUCGUAGUCUUAACCAUAAACUAUGCCGACUAGGGAUCGGACGGUGUUAUUCUUUGACCCGUUCGGCACCUUACACGAAAGUACAAGUUUCUG